UCUAUCUUGAAUAUUGUGGAGGUAAGCGGAAUAUGUCAUGUAGCGGUGAAAUGCUUAGAUAUGACAUAGAACACCCAUUGCGAAGGCAGCUUACUACGCAUAUAUUGACGCUGAGGCACGAAAGCGUGGGGAUCAAACAGGAUUAGAUACCCUGGUAGUCCACGCCCUAAACUAUGGAUACUCGACAUAUGCGAUACACUGUAUGUGUCUGAGCGAAAGCAUUAAGUAUCCCACCUGGGAAGUACGUUCGCAAGAAUGAAACUCAAAGGAAUUGGCGGGGGUCCGCACAAGCGGUGGAGUAUGUGGUUUAAUUCGAUGAUACGCGAGGAACCUUACCUGGGCUAGAAUGCUGGGAGAUCGCUAGUGAAAGCUAGUUUUGUAGCAAUACACUGCCAGUAAGGUGCUGCAUGGCCGUCGUCAGCUCGUGCCGUGAGGUGUUGGGUUAAGUCCCGCAACGAGCGCAACCCCUAUCUUUAGUUGCCAACAGGUAAUGCUGGGAACUCUAAAGAAACUGCCGCCGUAAGGUGUGAGGAAGGAGGGGAUGAUGUCAGGUCAUCAUGGCCUUUAUGCCCAGGGCUACACACGUACUACAAUGGGGGAGACAAAGGGCUGCAACAUAGCGAUAUGAAGCCAAUCCCAAAAACUCC
rnacentral:rRNA from 1 species